rnacentral:lncRNA from 1 species
GUAUGAACUUUGCAGUAGCUUGCACUACCAGCACCACCACCACCAGCAAGUUGGGGGCCUCUUUGAUUCAAAGGAAUUCUUUAGGACUAUUACAUAUUCCUGCCAUUCUUUUCUAGAAUCCUGUGAACCAAAGAGUACCAAGGUUAUUGUGACAGCAACGGAGAUGAUGAUGAUGAUGACGAGGUUCCAAUAUUGUUACUCCCUUCGUUUCUAAAUAUAAGUCCUUUUAGAGAUUUCAAUACGGACUACAUACGGAUGUAUAUAGACCCAUUUUAGAAUGUAGAUUCACUCAUUUCGCUCCAUAUGUAGUAUGUAUUGGAUAUACCAAUACCCAGAGAGUAUUUGCAAAGAUUCUGACAGUAUUUGCAAAGAUUCUGACAAUGUCACUGCUCGAUUCCUCAAAUCGCUGGGUCCGUCCCUACCCCCUCUGGAUUCCCAGCGCCCAACGGACCAACUGGUCGGAGGAGGCGGCCCCCGUGGAGGUGGGAUUGGGAACCAGCGACCUACCUUCCAACAUUUGUUGGUAAAGCUCCGCCACUGACAUGGUGACGGUGGUGAUCCCGGCGUACAAAACCAAAAUACCCGUCGAUCACCACCUGGUCACGGGAAUACUUUCAAAGAUUCUGACAGUGCCACCGCUCGGUUCCUCGCAUCGCUGGGUCCGUCCCUACAGCCUAAAGUUUCCCAGCACCCAACGGACCAUCUGGUCGGAGCAGGCGGCCCCCGCAGAGGUGAGAUCUGGAACCAGCGACCGACCAAACCGAGCGCUGCGCUUAUACACACACGCUCGCAAUGCGAGCGGGCGAGAGGGAGAGAGGUGGUGAGGGGUGGAGGUACCAGAUCGAAACACAGAGGAGACGAAGUGGAGACGGCGGCUCAGAUCUACCGCUUGGCGUCGCCGGAACCCACGACCGGAUGCGAGGCGGUCCCCCUGCCACGCGGUCCCCAGACCCCCCGCGACCGCAUCCGACGCCGGCGAAGCCGCG